rnacentral:rRNA from 1 species
UACGGGGGGGGCAAGCGUUGUUCGGAAUUACUGGGCGUAAAGGGUUCGUAGGUGGCUCGCUAAGUCAGACGUGAAAUCCCUCAGCUCAACUGGGGAACUGCGUCUGAGACUGGGGAGCUCGAGUGCAGGAGAGGAACGCGGAAUUCCAGGUGUAGCGGUGAAAUGCGUAGAUAUCUGGAGGAACACCGGUGGCGAAGGCGGCGUUCUGGACUGCAACUGACACUGAGGAACGAAAGCCAGGGGAG